GUGCCUGUGUGCAUGCAUGUGUAUAUGCAUGCGUGUAUCCCACCUGCCCCAUCACUCAGCACGGAGGCCCGAUGGGAAGGUUCCAGGCAGUGUUGUGUGCAGCCUGCCUGCUGGGGUGGGGGCGGUGGGGGAGUGUGUUAGAAAGUGAAGGGUGCUGACCUUGGAGUCAUGUGAGUCAUGCAUCUGCCCCUCAGUUACUAUGCGGCCCUGGGUAGGUUGCUCACCUUUGGGAGCCUUGAUCCCUGUUAAGAAUGGCACCUACCCCUUAGAGUGUGGUAUAAGCAUCAAUGAAUCUAAAUUCCAUGACAAUGAGGACUCUUCCUUAGCUUGCUGGGGGCUGGGAAGUAAUAAAACAAUGUCAGGUAUUGUUUUAUUACCAUCGGGAUGCAUGUUGUCGUGAGUUUAGAUCACAGUGCCAGGCCUUCUAGGAAGCCAACUUGCAGAGAAGUUCAAAGGCUUUCCACUGGGUGUCAGUGGUGCUCAGGAUGCCUCGGAGGCAUCCCUGUGUCUGAGCAGGUUUGAAAGGACUAGGAUACGAUGUUCGGAGAUGCCAGGUGUCACCAGGGCCCCUCAGCUCCCCUGCAGGUCCAGGAGUGGUGCCUGGAGCCCUCCCACCUGCCUCAUCCCCCUGCCCCUGCCACUGCCUCUCCCGUGCCCUCAGGUUACCUGGCUGCCCAGUCCCCAGGUGGGCACCACCCCUGGGCCUUCUCAUGAAGGGGAUAUAAUUAGAGGAACUCGUUCUGAACCCCCGGCUUCCCAAGACUGACCCUGUUUGAAAGUGCACGCUUCCUACACGAAGGAGCGUCUCCUCCGCGGAGCCUGGGAGAGGGAGAUCCUAGGGGUGGCAGGCGGGUGGAAGGUUUUCGUGGAAGUGCUGUCUGACAUCCGGAAUCUCUGUUUAACUCCCAACUCCCUAGAGGUUCUUCUGUAUUUUCUCUGAAUAAUCCUGGUGGGGACUUUAAGAAGUAGAAUUAGUUGGGAAGAAACAUAUAUACAUAACCCCAGAGACAUAAUAAAGCUCACAUGCAGUGCAUCUGUGAGUGCCGAGGUUUCCCGGCUGCUUCUCAUCCCUGGAGCUUCUCAUUGCCUCCUCUUGUCCUAUUGGUUUGUCGUCUCCUUCUUGGUGUCCCGAUCAAAAAAAAAAAAAAACAAAAA
rnacentral:lncRNA from 1 species